CGCUGGCGGCGUGCCUAAUACAUGCAAGUCGAGCGGACCGAAAGGAGAGCUCGCUCUCCUUUCAGUCAGCGGCGGACGGGUGAGUAACACGUGGGUAACCUGCCUGUAAGACCGGGAUAACUCGCGGAAACGCGAGCUAAUACCGGAUAGGUCCCGUGGCCGCAUGGCGACGGGAGGAAAGAUGGCGCGAGCUAUCGCUUACAGAUGGGCCCGCGGCGCAUUAGCUAGUUGGUGGGGUAACGGCCCACCAAGGCGACGAUGCGUAGCCGACCUGAGAGGGUGAUCGGCCACAUUGGGACUGAGACACGGCCCAAACUCCUACGGGAGGCAGCAGUAGGGAAUCUUCCGCAAUGGGCGAAAGCCUGACGGAGCAACGCCGCGUGAGCGAAGAAGGCCUUCGGGUCGUAAAGCUCUGUUGUCAGGGAAGAACAAGUACCGGAGUAACUGCCGGUACCUUGACGGUACCUGACCAGAAAGCCCCGGCUAACUACGUGCCAGCAGCCGCGGUAAUACGUAGGGGGCGAGCGUUGUCCGGAAUCAUUGGGCGUAAAGCGCGCGCAGGCGGUCCCUUAAGUCUGAUGUGAAAUCUUGCGGCUCAACCGCAAGAGGUCAUUGGAAA
rnacentral:rRNA from 1 species